GAUGAACGCUGGCGGCGUGCCUAAUACAUGCAAGUCGAGCGAAUGGAUUAAGAGCUUGCUCUUAUGAAGCUAGCGGCGGACGGGUGAGUAACACGUGGGUAACCUGCCCAUAAGACUGGGAUAACUCCGGGAAACCGGGGCUAAUACCGGAUAACAUUUUGAACCGCAUGGUUCGAAAUUGAAAGGCGGCUUCGGCUGUCACUUAUGGAUGGACCCGCGUCGCAUUAGCUAGUUGGUGAGGUAACGGCUCACCAAGGCAACGAUGCGUAGCCGACCUGAGAGGGUGAUCGGCCACACUGGGACUGAGACACGGCCCAGACUCCUACGGGAGGCAGCAGUAGGGAAUCUUCCGCAAUGGACGAAAGUCUGACGGAGCAACGCCGCGUGAGUGAUGAAGGCUUUCGGGUCGUAAAACUCUGUUGUUAGGGAAGAACAAGUGCUAGUUGAAUAAGUUGGCACCUUGACGGUACCUAACCAGAAAGCCACGGCUAACUACGUGCCAGCCGCCGCGGUAA
rnacentral:rRNA from 1 species